UUGUCUCAAAGAUUAAGCCAUGCAUGUCUCAGUACAAGCCAAAUUAAGGUGAAACCGCGAAAGGCUCAUUAAAUCAGUUAUGGUUCCUUAGAUCGUACACACAUUUACUUGGAUAACUGUGGUAAUUCUAGAGCUAAUACAUGAAUACAGAGCUCUGACCGGAGACGGGAGGAGCGCUUUUAUUAGAUCAAAACCAAUCGGUGGCGGUUUUACCGUCAUCGUACCAUUUGGUGACUCUGAAUAACUUUAAGCUGAUCGCACGGUCUUGCACCGGCGACGCAUCUUUCAAAUGUCUGCCUUAUCAACUGUCGAUGGUAGGUUCUGCGCCUACCAUGGUUGUAACGGGUAACGGGGAAUCAGGGUUCGAUUCCGGAGAGGGAGCCUGAGAAACGGCUACCACAUCCAAGGAAGGCAGCAGGCGCGCAAAUUACCCACUCCCGGCACGGGGAGGUAGUGACGAAAAAUAACGAUACGGGACUCAUCCGAGGCCCCGUAAUCGGAAUGAGUACACUCUAAACCCUUUAACGAGGAUCAAUUGGAGGGCAAGUCUGGUGCCAGCAGCCGCGGUAAUUCCAGCUCCAAUAGCGUAUAUUAAAGUUGUUGCGGUUAAAAAGCUCGUAGUCGAAUCUGUGUCCCGCGCCGCCGGUUCAUCGUUCGCGGUGUUAACUGGCGUGUCGUGGGACGUCCUGCCGGUGGGCUUAGCUCGCAAGGGCGGCCCAACUCAAUCCCGCCGCGGUGCUCUUCAUUGAGUGUCGAGGUGGGCCGGCACGUUUACUUUGAACAAAUUAGAGUGCUUAAAGCAGGCUAAAACUUUGCCUGAAUACUGUGUGCAUGGAAUAAUGGAAUAGGACCUCGGUUCUAUUUUGUUGGUUUUCGGAACCCCGAGGUAAUGAUUAAUAGGAACGGAUGGGGGCAUUCGUAUUGCGACGUUAGAGGUGAAAUUCUUGGAUCGUCGCACGACGGACAG
rnacentral:rRNA from 1 species